rnacentral:rRNA from 1 species
GUUUGGAUUAAACCAGAUUCGAACACUGGCGGGAUGCUUUUUACACAUGCCAAGUCGAACGGCCAGCACGGACUUCGGUCUGGUGGCGAGUGGCGAACAGGUGAGUAAUGUAUCGGGGAACGAUGCACCUAGUAGCGGGGGAUAACUACGCGAAAGCGUAGCUAAUACCGCAUACGCCCUUCGAGAAAGCGAGGGGACCUUCGGGCCUCGCACUAAUGGAAGCGGCCGAUAUCGGGAUUGGCAGCUGGUUGGUGGGGUAACGGCUCACCAGAGCGGCGAUCCGUAGCUGGUUUGAGGACGACCAGCCACUGGGACGGAGACUGACCCAGACUCCUACGAGGUAGCAGUGAGAAUUUGGACAAUGGAAGCACAGUCCAGCCAUCCCGCGUGUGCGAUGAAGGCCUUCGGAUUGUAAAGCACUUUGGCAGGAAAGAAACGGCACGGGAUAAUGCCCCGUGCAACUGACAACACCUGCAGAAUAAGCACCGGCUAACGUGCCAGCGUACUUGACUAAUACGUAGAGUGCAAGCGUUAAUCGGAAUUACUGGGCGUAAAGCGUGCGCAGGCGGUUCGGAAAAGAAGAUGUGAAAUCGGGAAAGCAACUUUGGAACUGCAUUUUAACUGCCGAGCUGAAGUGUGUCAGAGGGAGGUGGAAUUCCGCCUGUAGCAGUGAAAUGCGUAAGAUAUGCCGGAGAGAACACCGAUGGCGAAGGCAGCCUCCUGGGAUAACACUGACGCUCAUGCACGAAAGCGUGAGGGGAGCAAACAGGAUUAGAUACCCUGGUAGUCACGCACUUCCUAAACGAUGUCAACUAGCUGUUGGGGCCUUCGGGCCUUGGUAGCCACCAGCCUAACGCGUGAAGUUGACCGCCUGGGGAAGUACAGUCGCAAGAUUAAAACUCAAAGGAAUUGACGGGGACCCGCACAAGCGGUGGAUGAUGUGGAUUAAUUCGAUGCAACGCGAAAAACCUUACCUACCCUUGACAUGUCUGAUCGAAGAUUUGGGUGCUCGCAAGAGAACCGGAACACAGGUGCUGCAUGGCUGUCGUCAAUGCGUGUCGUGAGAUGUUGGGUUAAGUCCCGCAACGAGCGCAACCCUUGUCAUUGGUUGCUACGAAAGGGCACUCUAAGCGGACUGCCGGUGACAAACCGGAGGAAGGUGGGGAUGACGUCAAGUCCUCAUAGCCCUUAUGGGUAGGGCUUCACACAUCAUGCAAUGGUGGGACAGAGGGUCGCCAACCCGCGAGAGGCCAAUCCCAGAAACCCGAUCGUAGUCCGGAUCGCAGUCUGCAACUCGACUGCGUGAAGUCGGGAUCCUUUAAUGCGGAUCAGCAUGUCGCAGUGAAUACGUUCCAGGUCCUUACACGCCCGUCACAUGGAAUUAGGUUUUACCAGAAGUAGUUAGCCUAACCGUAGGGAGGCGAUUACCACGGUAGGAUUCAUGACUGGGUGAAGUCAACAAGGUAA